GAGCGGGCGUAGCAAUACGUCAGCGGCAGACGGGUGAGUAACGCGUGGGAACGUACCUUUUGGUUCGGAACAACACAGGGAAACUUGUGCUAAUACCGGAUAAGCCCUUACGGGGAAAGAUUUAUCGCCGAAAGAUCGGCCCGCGUCUGAUUAGCUAGUUGGUAGGGUAAUGGCCUACCAAGGCGACGAUCAGUAGCUGGUCUGAGAGGAUGAUCAGCCACAUUGGGACUGAGACACGGCCCAAACUCCUACGGGAGGCAGCAGUGGGGGAUAUUGGACAAUGGGGGCAACCCUGAUCCAGCCAUGCCGCGUGAGUGAUGAAGGCCCUAGGGUUGUAAAGCUCUUUUGUGCGGGAAGAUAAUGACGGUACCGCAAGAAUAAGCCCCGGCUAACUUCGUG
rnacentral:rRNA from 1 species